rnacentral:antisense_RNA from 18 species
AGUUUUGGCGGCUCGGAUGGGGGAGCCUCGGCUCCGCCGGUUUUCGCAAGAGUGCCCGGUAGACCAACCCGUUCGAGCUGCCGCCC